rnacentral:rRNA from 1 species
UACGGGGGGGGUAAGCGUUGUUCGGAAUUACUGGGCGUAAAGGGCUCGUAGGCGGCCAACUAAGUCGGACGUGAAAUCCCUCAGCUUAACUGGGGAACUGCGUCUGAUACUGGAUGGCUUGGAUUUGGGAGAGGGAUGCGGAAUUCCAGGUGUAGCGGUGAAAUGCGUAGAUAUCUGGAGGAACACCGGUGGCGAAGGCGGCAUCCUGGACCGGCAUUGACGCUGAGGCGCGAAAGCCAGGGGAGCAAACGGG